rnacentral:rRNA from 1 species
AGAGUUUGAUCCUGGCUCAGAUUGAACGCUGGCGGCGUGCCUAACACAUGCAAGUCGAACGAUGAUUGGAGAGCUUGCUCUUCAUGAUUAGUGGCGCACGGGUGAGUAACGCAUAGGUAACGUGCCCCUUAGAGGGGGAUAGCCACUGGAAACGGUGAUUAAUACCCCAUACUCCUUCUUGCCAUAAGGUAAGUCGGGAAACGUAAUUCGCUAAGGGAUCGGCCUAUGUCCUAUCAGUUAGUUGGUGAGGUAACGGCUCACCAAGACUAUGACGGGUAUCUGGUUUGAGAGGAUGAUCAGACACACUGGAACUGAGACACGGUCCAGACUCCUACGGGAGGCAGCAGUGAGGAAUAUUGCACAAUGGAGGAAACUCUGAUGCAGCAACGCCGCGUGGAGGAUGACGCAUUUCGGUGUGUAAACUCCUUUUAAGAGGGAAGAUUAUGACGGUACCUCUUGAAUAAGCACCGGCUAACUCCGUGCCAGCAGCCGCGGUAAUACGGAGGAUGCAAGCGUUAUCCGGAUUUAUUGGGUUUAAAGGGUGCGCAGGUGGUUAAAUAAGUCAGUGGUGAAAGUCUGCCGCUUAACGGUAGGAUUGCCAUUGAUACUGUUUAACUUGAGUUUAGGUGAGGUAGGCGGAAUGUGUAGUGUAGCGGUGAAAUGCAUAGAUAUUACACAGAACACCGAUUGCGAAGGCAGCUUACUAAUCUACAACUGACACUGAGGCACGAAAGCGUGGGGAUCAAACAGGAUUAGAUACCCUGGUAGUCCACGCUGUAAACGAUGAUCACUCGCUGUUUGCGAUAUACAGUAAGCGGCUAAGCGAAAGCGAUAAGUGAUCCACCUGGGGAGUACGAUCGCAAGGUUGAAACUCAAAGGAAUUGACGGGGGCCCGCACAAGCGGAGGAACAUGUGGUUUAAUUCGAUGAUACGCGAGGAACCUUACCUGGGCUUAAAUGGGGAGUGACAGCUGGCGAAAGUUGGUUUUCUUCGGACACUCUUCAAGGUGCUGCAUGGUUGUCGUCAGCUCGUGCCGUGAGGUGUCGGGUUAAGUCCCAUAACGAGCGCAACCCUUACUGUUAGUUGCCAGCGGGUAGAGCCGGGAACUCUAACGGGACUGCCACCGUAAGGUGAGAGGAAGGUGGGGAUGACGUCAAAUCAGCACGGCCCUUAUGUCCAGGGCUACACACGUGUUACAAUGGCCGGUACAAAGGGCAGCUACACCGCGAGGUGAUGCUAAUCUCGAAAGCCGGUCUCAGUUCGGAUCGAAGUCUGCAACCCGACUUCGUGAAGUUGGAUUCGCUAGUAAUCGCGCAUCAGCCAUGGCGCGGUGAAUACGUUCCUGGGCCUUGUACACACCGCCCGUCAAGCCAUGGGAGCCGGGGGUACCUGAAGUCUGCAACCGCAAGGAGCGGCCUAGGGUAAAACUGGUGACUGGGGCUAAGUCGUAACAAGGUAACC